rnacentral:rRNA from 1 species
UACGAAGGGGGCUAGCGUUGUUCGGAAUCACUGGGCGUAAAGCGCACGUAGGCGGAUGUGCCAGUCAGGGGUGAAAUCCUGGAGCUCAACUCCAGAACUGCCUUUGAUACUGAAGAUCUUGAGUUCGGGAGAGGUGAGUGGAACUGCGAGUGUAGAGGUGAAAUUCGUAGAUAUUCGCAAGAACACCAGUGGCGAAGGCGGCUCACUGGCCCGGUACUGACGCUGAGGUGGCGAAAGCGUGGGGAGCAAACAGG